UACGUAAGCGGCGAGCGUUAUCCGGAAUUACUGGGCGUAAAGCGCACGUAGGCGGGUCGUUAAGUCAGGGGUGAAAUCCCGGAGCUCAACUCCGGAACUGCCUUUGAUACUGUCGAUCUGGAGUAUGGAAGAGGUGAGUGGAAUUCCGCGUGUAGAGGUGAAAUUCGUAGAUAUUCGGAGGAACACCAGUGGCGAAGGCGGCUCACUGGUCCAUUACUGACGCUGAGGUGCGAAAGCGUGGGGAGCAAACAGG
rnacentral:rRNA from 1 species